GAUGAACGCUGGCGGCGUGCUUAACACAUGCAAGUCGAACGGAAAGGCUCCUGCUUGCCGGGGUACUCGAGUGGCGAACGGGUGUGUAUCACGUGGGUGAUCUGCCCUGCACUUCGGGAUAUGCCUGGGAAACUGGGUCUAAUACCGGAUAGGACGUUGGUUUGGAUGCCAUUGUGGAAAGUUUUUCGGUGUGGGUUGAGCUCGCGGCCUAUCAGCUUGUUGGUGGGGUAAUGGCCUACCAAGGCGUCGACGGGUAGCCGGCCUGAGAGGGUGUACGGCCACAUUGGGACUGAGGUACGGCCCAGACUCCUACGGGAGGCAGCAGGGGGAAAUAUUGCACAAUAGGCGCAAGCCUGAUGCAGCGACUCCGCGUGGGGGAAGACGGCCUUCGGGUUGUAAACACCUUUCGCUAGGGACGAAGCGCAAGUGACGGUACCUGGAGAAGAAGCACCGGCUAACUACGUG
rnacentral:rRNA from 1 species